GACGAACGCUGGCGGCGUGCUUAACACAUGCAAGUCGAACGGAAAGGCCCUGCUUUUGUGGGGUGCUCGAGUGGCGAACGGGUGAGUAACACGUGAGUAACCUGCCCUUGACUUUGGGAUAACUUCAGGAAACUGGGGCUAAUACCGGAUAGGAGCUCCUGCUGCAUGGUGGGGGUUGGAAAGGUUCGGCGGUUGGGGAUGGACUCGCGGCUUAUCAGCUUGUUGGUGGGGUAGUGGCUUACCAAGGCUUUGACGGGUAGCCGGCCUGAGAGGGUGACCGGCCACAUUGGGACUGAGAUACGGCCCAGACUCCUACGGGAGGCAGCAGUGGGGAAUAUUGCACAAUGGGCGGAAGCCUGAUGCAGCAACGCCGCGUGCGGGAUGACGGCCUUCGGGUUGUAAACCGCUUUCGCCUGUGACGCAGCGUGAGUGACGGUAAUGGGUAAAGAAGCACCGGCUAACUACGUG
rnacentral:rRNA from 1 species